GACAUUCUCCCUAAACCUUUGGAUGCUUUUGUUUUUGAAAAUUUACAAGUCGGGCUUGGCAUUUGUAAAUUUAGUGCAUAACAAUUACAUAUUAUUUAUUUGUGUGCUCCUGGGCUCUCCUGUGGGAUUAUCUUAUUUGUUUGGGCCUAUUUUAUGUUGCCCAACCCACACCGCAAAGAUUUAAAUUUGAUUUUGUUUCUCUGAUAUUGGACCUAAUUGUAGAAUGAACAACAAUGCAAACACUACAUUUUUCACUAUAGGUUCUUUCGAUUGGAAACAGAGGACUAAAAAAUUCUCGCUUUGGUUGAAGCUUUUUAAGUCUAGAUAUGAGAAAUUCGAGAAGAAUCACAAAAGUCCUUCUAGAGAAUCGCAUGGUCUAGUUUCGUCACCUUCAUCGCUGUCAUGGUUCUCAACGAUCUUCCACGAUCAUCGGAUUAAGCGACAAUUAAGCCUUUCGCCAAUUGAUGAAUCGCUCCAUGUUUCCGAACGGAGGCAUUACCAAGCGAUUGAAUGCGGAAUGUCGUUAGUAAGAGUAUUUUACUCGGAUGAAGAAUGUGAAGGUUUAGCAAUUGAUAGAUGGAGCUGUGACCCUUUAUUCGAUGACAGUGAUUAGAUUGGUGGGUUUGACGGUGAAGGCUUGUUAUGGCGUCAACAAUGGCAGUGGUUGAAGUGUGGAAUCGACGAUGGCGGACGGCAAAAAAUUGGAAGGCAAGGGUUUCAAUUCAACCACAUCGUAGCCCACUUCGUUCGACAACGGCGUGCUUUGCGUUUUUAGUAAAGAGGGAGAGAAUGCUUAAGAGAAAAUAAGUUUUUUUAUUUAAUUUUAAUUAGGGUUUUUCCAUUUGGAACUUUUUUUAAUGACACAAAAAAUUUGUUGUUAAUUAACUACGUAAAAAUUGUGUCAAAAAAAUUAAAUUGUGUCAAUAGAAUUAUGUCGAGAAAUAAUCUGUAUUUAUUUUCAACAACACAAUUUACCUUACCUCACCCAUGUUUUUAUUUUCAACGACACAAUGUCUUGAUUAGUAGUGUCAUUAAAACCCAUUUUUCUAGUAAUAGAAGCAGGAUAUCGUAGAUUUCACGAAGAUGGUGUAUUUUGUAAACAGCAUUCAAAUUUUGGUAAAUCUUAACUAAAUCGACUAAAAUAAUGCCAGAUAUAUAUACAAGCUGUCCCCCUAAAAUAAUGCCUAAUAUAGAUUCAAGAAUUUCUGCUUUGUUAUAUUUUAAACAAUUUAUUAAAUAAUACAUUUUGUGUGUGUGUGUGCGUGCGUGCAUGCAUGUGUGUGUCAUUGAUUCAGUGUGCGAAGAUGUGAAUCAUUGGUUCCAAAAAAACCAUUAGCAAAGGAGGUUGAAUAUCUGUCAAGUUCUUCCAAUGAGAGACCAAAAGAUCCAAUGGUCGAGGGGUCGGGAAGCAAGCAGGAAAGUCCAAACACUUCAAGAAAGAAGAAGAGGAAUGAACCUCCAAAGGAAGAUACUGCUAUGAACAAAAAACUGAAGAUAAAGAGAUUGGUUUCAAAGAGGCAAUUUAUGAGAAGGAAACGUUAAGAAGAAGAAGAAGAAAUAGAGAAUAAAGAGAAGGAUAAUACUGAAAGUGAAUAAGAUAAACAAGAACAAGACGAAGAUGAAGAAGGACAAGGUCAAGAGUGCUAACAAGGAAGAAAAGGCCAAAGAGGAUAAAAGACGAAAAGGGAAAGCACCAAUGACACAAGAAAAAGUUGAGGUGUAUGUCAUAUAGUACUUAGUAUGUAUGAAUUCUGUAUACCUAGAAUACAAAGUAUGUGGUUGUUGUUUGAUAUCGAAUACAUUGUAUUUGGGGGUAAUUACACUGUAUUUGUGAAUCUGUUGUCUAUGGUUUCAUCCAUAUUCUAGAAUAUGUUGAAUUUGAUUGAUGUGAAUUAAAGUGUAUUUGUGUAUUAUG